CCAUGUCUUUUAAAGGCGGUGAAUCAUUCCCUGCAUUCUCCAAUUUCUUUUAAAGACGGUGAAUUGUUCACCACUUUCUCCCAUUUCUUUUAAAGGUGGUGAAUCGUUUGCUGUAUUUAUUAAAAUUGUACAUGGAUUAUAUAAGAAAUAGAAAAAAGUGAGGUUGUUAUGAUUAUAUGUGGAUUAUUAGAAUUUUUAUUUGAUUGUUAGGAUUGUAUGGAUAAAUUAUUAGGAUUUUCAGGAUGUUAAGAUUAUAUGAAAUUAUAUGGAUAGACUAUUAGGAUUUUCGGACGGUUAAGAUUAUAAGAAAUUGUUUGAAUAAAUUAUUAGAAUUUUUAGGUUGUUAAGAUUAUAUGUGAUUUGUUAAAAUUUUUAUGUGGUUGUUAGAAUUAUAUAUGGAAUAUAGAAAGAAUCAGUAAAUAAGUGAAAGGUAGUGAAUGAUUCACCGUCUUUGUAGGAAAUUAUGAAGGCGGUGAAUGGUUCACCGUCUUCAAAGAAAAUCUCCACCCUGGCUCCUACAUGAAAAAAGGAGGGUUAGUUUUUCAAAUAUAAUUUGGAGAGAAUUAUUUUGUAAAUUAUCAAAUUUUAGAGGAUUAUUUUAUUAAAAAAUCACGAUGGGAUUGAUCAAGUGGGAUCCAACAGAGGAAUACUAGGAUUUUCUCUCUUUUAAAGAGAGAAAGAAGAGAGAGAGAGAGAGAGAAAUAAGAGUGGGAGAGGGUUGGCUAUGAGGAAGGUAUUAACAAAGG
rnacentral:lncRNA from 1 species